AUUCUGAGAGGAGCGUUCAUUUGGGGACGGAUUGCAUCACGAAAGCGUCCCUUAAGGACAGAUAAAAAACGACAAUAAAUCGAGUCUAAAGAUUGAGAAACUGGGGAAUUACGUCGGGUCGCGGCGUAAGAGUAGUACUAGCAGGAGGCGGGGCAGAACUUCAUCACUAUAAAGCAAGGACGUAGGACUCCUGCGCUUCAUUCGGAGAGCCGCCAAGUUACUUAGAGUUGAUCUUCGCCAGGAGAAAAAUAGCAGCAUCAUGGUGAAACAGAGCACCUGGAUCAUCUUCGGACUUCUCCUCCUCUGCCAAGUCCUGCUGACCUUUGCCCACCAUCAUUACGGGCAGGGAGGGGGACAUCACGACGAUCACGCGGACGAUGGCUACGAAGGGCAUGAACAAGACGAAGGUAACGGCGGUCCUGGGUUUGACAAUGGAGAUGAUCACCAUUAGUACUAAUAGAACUGAGAAGUCUCCAGACGACUGAACAUAUCCUUUGGCGCCAACUUUGUCUCUUCGUCUUCUCCUUCUUCUGUUUUUCUUCCAAGUCGAAUGAAUUUUAAAGCUAAUUUUUUAUCUUGAUCUAUUUUCGAAUAAAAAGUUAAAUAAAAAAACUCACUCCA